AAGAGCUCUGUUUUAUUAUUUGAUUUUUUUUUCUUUUUGUUGUUUUUCCCUUUUGUUGGUUGCAUGAAGAGUUUCUCCCACAGAUAAACAAUAUUUCUCCUUUGUUAUCUCGGGUUAGUGACAAGAUUUCUCCUUUGCCCUCGUGACUUAAAUAAGCUCAUGUUUCAUCUUAUGAAGUAAAGUGCCUUUUUCUGCUCCUUUCUGCGCAUUAUCCCUUCAUGAACAUCCUCCACACUGUGUCUAUCACACACGUUACUCACUUUGCAACUCCAAGCCAUGAAGAGUAGCUAUUUAUCUAGAAGAACCGGUACAACAAAGACAAUCCAAAAAAAAAUUUGUAAAAAAAAAAUGUACAAUCUCCCCUUGUUUCAGCACACACACUCAAUAGGACGAUGGUUAGAGUUCACAAAUACCCAGAGACUUCUGCAAAUGCACAAAUGUGCUGCGGCCCAAAUGCUUAGUGAAUAUAUCAGGAAGUUGAAUCUUA
rnacentral:lncRNA from 1 species